rnacentral:rRNA from 1 species
UACAGAGGUCUCAAGCGUUGUUCGGAUUCAUUGGGCGUAAAGGGUGCGUAGGCGGCGCGGUAAGUCGGGUGUGAAAUCUCGGAGCUUAACUCCGAAACUGCAUUCGAUACUGCCGUGCUUGAGGACUGGAGAGGAGACUGGAAUUUACGGUGUAGCGGUGAAAUGCGUAGAUAUCGUAAGGAAGACCAGUGGCGAAGGCGGGUCUCUGGACAGUUCCUGACACUGAGGAGCGAAAGCGUGGGGGAGCGAACAGG